UACAGAGGGGGCAAGCGUUAUUCGGAAUUCUUGGGCGUACAGGGCGCGUAGGCGGUUUUUUAAGUCGGAUGUGCAAUCCCCAGGCUCACCCUGGGAACUGCAUCCGAGACUGGAAGGCUAGAGUACUGGAGAGGGUGGUGGAAUUCCUCGUGGAGCGGUGAAAUGCGUAGAGAGGAGGAGGAACACCAGUGGCGAAGGCGGCCACCUGGACAGUAACUGACGCUGAGGCGCGAAAGCGUGGGUAGCAAACAGG
rnacentral:rRNA from 1 species